UGGCCCCUGGACAGGACGUGGAGACCUGGGCCUGCUGGUAGGGCCCAGCUAAGGCCCCUGAGAGCUCCAUGCAGGGUGGCAGUUGGGAGAGCAGGAGGUCCCUGGUGCAGGGCUGCAGAGAGGGCUUAGGAUGAGCAGAGAGGAGUUCGGGGCUGGGUGUGGCCAAGGGGGAGGACAAAGACUACAAGUUAGGGUAGGGAGCAGGUGGCAAGAUCUGCUGGUCACAUCCUGAGACACAGUGGACUCAAUUCCAAAGACGGUGACAAGACCCUGUAGGGAUCCUCGCCUGAUCAGGAAGGGGUCAUCCGCAAGGGCUGGCUGACUAUCAAUAAUAUUGGCAUCAUGAAAGGGGGCUCCAAGGAGUACUGGUUUGUGCUGACUGCUGAGAAUCUGUCCUGGUACAAGGACGAUGAGGAGAAAGAGAAGAAAUACAUGCUGUCUGUGGACAACCUCAAGCUGCGGGACGUGGAGAAGGGCUUCAUGUCGAGCAAGCACAUCUUUGCCCUCUUUAACACAGAGCAGAGGGUGGUGGCAGUACUUGUCCUCUUCUUCUUGACCCAAGGCUGACUCUAGUGGGCCCUCUGCUACUCAGAGACGAGGGUUCAGUCCAGCUGCCAUCAGAGGGGUCCUUAGAGAGCCACGGAGGAAGCUGGUGGGAUCUGGGCCCCAAGCUAGAGACUUCACUGACUAUGGUUGUCCUCUUAUCAAAGGAAUGUCUACAAGGAUU
rnacentral:sRNA from 1 species